rnacentral:rRNA from 1 species
AUGUUGCUAGAUAACGGUGAACCUUCGAACUAUGAAGAAGCGAUGGCGGGCCCAGAUUUCAACAAAUGGCUUGAAGCCAUGCAAUCCGAGAUAGGAUCCAUGUAUGAAAACAAAUUAUGGACUUUGACAGACUUGCCCGAUGAUCGGCGAGCAAUAGAAAAUAAAUGGAUCUUUAAGAAGAAGACGAACGCGGAUGGUAAUAUUACCAUCUAUAAGGCUCGACUUGUCGCUAAGGUUAUCGACAAGUUCAAGGAGUUGACUACGAUGAGACAAGUUCAAGGAGUUGACUACGACAAGUUCCCGUAG